GCCACCACCAGAAAACCUCCGAGACACCUGGAGAAGUUUCUGGGCUCCGAGUUUCACCCUGUGGUCAGAGCCUUUCUGUGUGAUGUCCUGAAAGUUUUACACAAUCUCUGUGAAAGACAGGUGCACGAUUUGGGGCCCGUUUUAUAACCAAGAAACAUAAGAUCAGGUACUCUCCCUUCCUGGGUAUCCUCAUCAGGAUUUUCCUCUUCCUGUAAGGACAUGAAUCAGUAUGACUUUAUCUUUACUUGAUCACAUCUGCAAAGACCCUCUUCCCAAAUAUGGCCACAUUCCCAGGUCCAGUCACCAUCGUUGACAUCUGGCCUCAGAGUCCUCAAAAUGGAAGUCAGCUUUUAUAAGACGAACCCUGGAAAGAGCUCUCGGAUUUCCAUGGAGAAGCAUCUGCUUCAUAAAACGAGUCUCCAGAAAGCCUGCUUCUGUCAAAGUUGUUUAGUGAAAGGGCCACAGUUGGCAUGGCUUAAAGCAGAAGCACAGUGAAUACUGUUGUCCAUGGUGCUUAAUUCUGGAAGGGGUGCGGGGCCCUGCCAGCCAGCAGUGCCAAAAACCAUGUUCAAGAUAGUUUUGAUUCAAGUGCUUAUGAAGAAUAGGGUUGCUUUGGGCAGGGGAGCGGCUUUCUGCCCAAAGUAGUUCCUACCUAUGACAGACAGGACAAACCAGCAUGGCCCAUGGACGCAGCAAAAGGGAACUUGGUAUAUGGAAACGCGCCUUUGAGAUUGAAAUGUUUGAAAAUGUGAAUCAAAUAUGGAGAAUGCCAAAAAGGAAAAAGGAAUCACAUAAGCACAUUAUGCCAA